GUCAUCAAAAUUGUCGUUUCCUUCUCCUUUCUGGAAAUUAAAAGGAAGAAAGAAUUUCCCACCAUGUUCUCCUUUCAGUAAUAUAGAGAAAAUUCUGAAGCUGGUUUGGAGGAACUCUUGCAGCGUGAGUGUGCAGUCCUGCCUACUACAUAAUCUUCCACUUGUCUCUGAAAUGUGGAUUACAAGUACAUGAUUUGGGUGCUUGCAGAUGGUGGAAGGAUUGUAAAGCAAUAAAUUAUUCCUCCAACCUCUACUCUGAAACAAGACCUUUACAAAGUAGACAAUGUGGAGAUGUGUUAUGCAUUUAGCUCUCUAUUCAGUUGGAGCGUACCAUAAAGCUAAAACCAGAUCAGUCAAAGGAACCAUAGAAGUUACCAGAUUUAUUUGAUUCAGAGAACGAGAUGAAAAUUUCCUUUACAAAUACAGUACAUUUGGGCCUUCAGCUGUAGUGAGCUACCACUGGAGAACGAUAGUUUAUCAUUCACAGCAGUGAAAAAGGAGGUCAUACAGGGAUCACCUCUCCAAUGACAUAAACAUGAGACUUUUCUUACAAGCUGUCAAACUUCAAUUGUUGGUGAGAUCUGUUGUGUCAGUGUUUCAUAAUAAUUGCUUCUAAGUCUUGUUAAAGGUCUAAAACAAAUUACCUGAGUGACAUGCUUUUGGCAUCAGUAAAGGAACAAUGUGGGGAAUGCACAUUGCGUAACAGACUUGCCUAUUACGAUUUUGUUUGAGGUUAUUGCAGCAAUUCUACCAAUACUUCCCAUUAUAUGAAAUACCAUAAUGAGUUGCAAGUUUUCUCUUGCUCACAAGGAAACAUUUGUUCCCUGGGUAAUAGACUAGCUGGCCAACAUAAGCUCAUUCAAAACAAUAAACUUUUAUUUUUAUUUUUAUUUUUUAAGAAAAGGUGUUCCAAACAAACUGAAAAAGUUAAUCCUUUCACUUAAGAAGGCCUUUCUUUAGGCUUAAAAGGUAAUAUUGACUGUUUUUGCACUGCAACUCAGAUAUUGUUUCAUUUACAACUCAUGCAGUAAAAGGAUGGUAGGUUAGUAGAUACUAAAGGAAAUCUACACACAUAUCCUAAUCUACAGAAAUGCUCUUACCUGCAAAAAUAUAACAAAGAAAAAAUAUAUAAGAUGUAUAUGUAAAAAUAUA